UCUCCUACGGGAGGCAGCAGUGAGGAAUAUUGGUCAAUGGGCGAGAGCCUGAACCAGCCAAGUCGCGUGAGGGAAGACGGUCCUAUGGAUUGUAAACCUCUUUUGUCGGGGAGCAAAAAGACUACGUGUAGUCCCAAGCGAGAGUACCCGAAGAAAAAGCAUCGGCUAACUCCGUGCCAGCAGCCGCGGUAAUACGGAGGAUGCGAGCGUUAUCCAGAUUUAUUGGGUUUAAAGGGUGCGUAGGCGGUCCGGAAAGUCAGCGGUAAAAGCCCGGGGCUCAACCCCGGCGAGCCGUUGAAACUGUC
rnacentral:rRNA from 1 species